rnacentral:rRNA from 1 species
UACGUGAAACCGUUCAGGGGUAAACCUGAGAAACCCGAAAGGUCGAAGGGGGACAUUCAACCGCGCUCGGUCGGCGGCGAGAGGCGGUCGCGCGACGGUGAUCCCUCCGGGGUGAUCCGCGCCGGCCGCCGACGUCCGUCUCCGAACACGUGCACUUGUCCCCUUGUAGGACGUCGCGACCCGUUGGGUGCCGGUCUACGGCCCUCGGUGGAGCCCGUGCGGAGCCUCGCGCUCCGUCCGGACCCGAGGUGUCCCGGCCGGCUCGCCCGACGGUAUACCGAUGGCGCGGGGCCGCGGCUCGAACGCGUCCGACCCUCCGCAAGUGCGGACGGUAACCCGGCGGUCGGACCUGGUCCGGCUCCGGGCCCGCCCGGCUGCUGGCGGAGGCGCUCUCGGACAGACUCCGUGCACGCCCGUCGGCGACGCUAUAGCUUUGGGUACUUUCAGGACCCGUCUUGAAACACGGACCAAGGAGUCUAGCAUGUGCGCGAGUCAUUGGGAUUGACUAAACCUAAAGGCGCAAUGAAAGUGAAGGCCCGCCUCGCGCGGGCCGAGGGAGGAUGGGCCGGAGCACGAUCCGGCCCCGCACUCCCGGGGCGUCUCGCUCUCAUCGCGAGGAGAGGCGCACCCAGAGCGUACACGCUGGGACCCGAAAGAUGGUGAACUAUGCCUGGUCAGGACGAAGUCAGGGGAAACCCUGAUGGAGGUCCGUAGCGAUUCUGACGUGCAAAUCGAUCGUCGGAA